rnacentral:misc_RNA from 1 species
AGCAGCCGCGGUAAUUCCAGCUCCAAUAGCGCAUAUUAAAGUUGUUGCAGUUAAAAAGCUCGUAGUUGAACUUCGGGGUUUACUCAUUGGUCAGGCUUAAUUGUCUGUACUGGUGAGAUGAAUCUCUACCUUCUGAGGAACUUUCAUGCCAUUUAUUUGGUGUGGUUGGAAAUCAGGACUGUUACUUUGAAAAAUUAGAGUGUUUAAAGCAGGCUAACGUCUGAAUACAUUAGCAUGGAAUAAUGAAAUAGGACGGAUUGAUUCUAUUUCGUUGGUUUCUAGGGUCACCGUAAUGAUUAAUAGGGAUAGUUGGGGGCAUUAGUAUUCAAUUGUCAGAGGUGAAAUUCUUGGAUUUAUUGAAGACUAACUACUGCGAAAGCAUUUGCCAAGGAUGUUUUCAUUAAUCAAGAACGAAAGUUAGGGGAUCGAAGACGAUCAGAUACCGUCGUAGUCUUAACCAUAAACUAUGCCGACUAGGGAUCGGACGCAGUUAAUUUUAUAAUGACGUGUUCGGCACCUU